AGAGUUUGAUCAUGGCUCAGGAUGAACGCUAGCUACAGGCUUAACACAUGCAAGUCGAGGGGAAACGACAUCGAAAGCUUGCUUUUGAUGGGCGUCGACCGGCGCACGGGUGAGUAACGCGUAUCCAACCUGCCCAUCACUUGGGGAUAACCUUGCGAAAGUAAGACUAAUACCCAAUGACGUCUCUAGAAGACAUCUGAAAGAGAUUAAAGAUUUAUCGGUGAUGGAUGGGGACGCGUCUGAUUAGCUUGUUGGCGGGGUAACGGCCACCAAGGCGACGAUCAGUAGGGGUUCUGAGAGGAACGGUCCCCCACAUUGGAACUGAGACACGGUCCAAACUCAUACGGGAGGCA
rnacentral:rRNA from 1 species